CCGAAUGGUCGACUCACUUGAGAAGUCGACGUCUAAACUUUAGAGCCGCUUUUACUCUAAACGUCUUUUCAACGACACGUGAACCAAAACCCUGCUCACGGUGGCUAUCAGCUGUUAGCUGCGAGCUAAUGUAGCUAAAUACAACCGUGUCCUCCAGCCUCCAAGCUGAGCUAGCGUUAGCUAGGCUAGGCUAGGCUAGGCACGGCACUUUGAACACCAGACCAAGCUCCAGCUAAAGUAGCUACAGACACCGAGCUAAAGCUAAAGCUAAUUCAACAGUUCUACUAAUGUUCAGUUUGUGUAGAAUCUGUAAAUGUACUCAGUUACUUUUCAUAAUCAAUAAUGUCUCAGCGACUGCUUGAAUCAUCAAUGAUUGAAGUGGAGAUUUUUCAAAAUAUGGAGGUAUUUAUUGUUUAUUGCAAGUUCUUUAUAGGCCAUAUCACUCAGGCCUUAUAUUCAUAUGUGUAUUCAUCCAAAAUGAUAUUUCACUGUUUGCAUCUCAUUUAUUAAGUUUGUUCACUUCUGUCAAUAGAUCUUAUUUACAAUAUUAAUCUAUAUUAUAA